rnacentral:tRNA from 1 species
UCUAAUAUGGCAGAAAUAUAUGCGAUGAAUUUAAGAUUCAUAAAUAAAGACCCUUCUUUUAUUAGAA